UACGGGGGGGGCAAGCGUUGUUCGGAAUUACUGGGCGUAAAGGGCUCGUAGGUGGCCAACUAAGUCAGACGUGAAAUCCCUCGGCUUAACCGGGGAACUGCGUCUGAUACUGGAUGGCUUGAGUUCGGGAGAGGGAUGCGGAAUUCCAGGUGUAGCGGUGAAAUGCGUAGAUAUCUGGAGGAACGAACCGGUGGCCGAAGGCGGCAAGUCCUGGACCCGAGGACUUGACUGGACUGACGGCGGCGGCAAAGCCCAGGGGGAA
rnacentral:rRNA from 1 species